rnacentral:rRNA from 1 species
CAGCAGCCGCGGGAAAACGUAGGGUGCAAGCGUUAAUCGGAAUUACUGGGCGUAAAGCGUGCGCAGGCGGUUUUGUAAGACAGAGGUGAAAUCCCCGGGCUCAACCUGGGAACUGCCUUUGUGACUGCAAGGCUAGAGUACGGCAGAGGGGGAUGGAAUUCCGCGUGUAGCAGUGAAAUGCGUAGAUAUGCGGAGGAACACCGAUGGCGAAGGCAAUCCCCUGGGCCUGUACUGACGCUCAUGCACGAAAGCGUGGGGAGCAAACAGGAUUAGAUACCCCUGUAGUCCCUGUCUCUUAUAC